AGAGAGGGGGAGGGAGGAGAGGAGGAAGAGCGCCGCAGCCUCGGCAGCUGGAGUCGGAGCAGGGGGGGAUGGUUUCAAAAAAUAAUUAAAAAUCGAGGAAAUAUCCUAGAAAAGCCCUUUUGGCGUGAAAACCCCAAAGAAGAGCCAGGCUUCCCGAAACAGAGGUUUCGGGUGCCAGAAAGAUAACUCAUCGUUUCCUCAGUCACAUCAGAGAGAUCCUGAUGGUUUUCUUUUUGGAACUUAACAGUUUAAAAACCUAAAUAGGAUCAUGCCAAACAUAUUGUUCUGUGACUUGAUUUUUUUCAGUGAAUAAUCAUCUCUUGGAGUCUUGCUAUGCCAGUACAUAUACAUCUACUUCAUUCAUUUUAAGUGCAGAAUGCUUUUCAAUAGCAAGGAUAUGCCAGAAUUUUACGACUUCCCAUAAUUAAUGGCAUUUGGGGGCCCUCCUUCACCAGUUGUUUGCUUGUAUACAUAAUGUGCCAUCAGCAUCGUCGCACUUGCUUCUUUAUGCAUUCAAGUGCCAGUGGAAGGAGAAAGAGCUUGAAGUCCUGAUUCUAUCAAUUAAGUGGUCCAAGAAAGAGAAUGAGCAUCUUGAGGUCUCCAUCUUCAACAGCCUUACAGUCUGGAGGGAAGCAGACACACACACAGCUUUUACUUAGGGAGACGGGGGUCAAUUGAAGGUUAAGGGAGUGCAAAAAGAGGGAGACUGAGGGGUUCAGUCGAGGGGAUGACUGAGAAGGCUGCCUGGAGGAGGUGUGCUUGAGUCCUGGGUUCAAGGGUUAAAAGGCUCUGAUACUUGGUCUGCUAAUCUUUCUUAUCGUAUCGUUGCCUGGCAGUAUGCCUGUUAUUUGAGUGGACUCUUCUUGGACCAUUUGCUUGGAUGAACAGUGGGCAGAAGUGGAAAGGAAGGGUGCUCUGGACAAAGGUGACAAAGCCCAGGAACAAAAGUCGGAAGGUGCACAGUGUGCCCAGAGGGCCAGGAAUUGGGUGGAGUGACUGGCUCCUUGGUCGCUUGCAAGUAGCAUGAGAAUAGAGAGGGCUGGGAGAUGCAUUAAAAAGCACCAGGACAAAUUUAGGUUUGCACAGAAAAGGACGUUUCGUCAGGGUACGUGAGGAAAGUUGAGUAGAGAAUUUAGGAAUGGAGCAGACGACUCUGGUUGGGAUGAUGAGAGCGGAGAGACAGAUCCAUGUUCUUUCCAGGUGCCCCAGCAGCUCCAGGUCUCGCUGAACCUGUUACUAUGGCAGCGUCUAUGCUUCACUUUUGAGGAUUGCUUCUGCUUUGAAAUAGCCGUGUGGAAGAAAAACUACAAAGUUUUGAGGGGGAAAAAACCCACCUAACUUUAGCUGCCGUUGUGUCUUCAUCUGUAAAAAUCUUCUUCAUGUCUCAUGGAUUUCAACAUGCAGUUUAUCUUGGUUUGUUCCAUAAAACAUCAGAUGCAACUUUAAUGGCCUAACCCCAAAAAGAUAACUUGGCAGCCAUCAAGCAUUCAGCAGCGUUCCAAAUGCCCUCUUGCUGGAGCCAGCCUUCUACGGGGCCAUGUGGAUGUCAGGCACACACAAUUUGAGUCACGCUGACAUAGCUGGGAUGCCUGGAUUGCACUGGAAUCUGGGGGGUACCAAUCACAGGCCAGAGAGAAGCCAUUGGCUGGAAGGAACAAUGCCAGCGUGUUCACCGUCUCUGCAGAAGGAGGGGGUGUUGAUGGUGAGGGGAAUGACAGUUGCAGCCAAAGGAGCAAAAUGACCCCAAAGCAGGGUGGGCACAUGUCAUUGAUGCUGGGCAGAAGCACUCCAGGGGCUCAGGUCAUGACCACACCCCUUUUCUCCUGCCCCACAACCAGAAAAACUAAGAAGGUGUAAGCCUUUUUCUGGUUCACUACAUGCCAAGGACUGCGCUAAAUCAUUCACAUAAAACCACCAGCGUGCAUCACCUCAUUUGGUCCUCCCACAGUCUAACGGAAUCUACCAUAAAACCAACAGACUCCUCCUGAUCUCUACCUGUGCUGUCUGCCUCUCUAGUUCCGGACACUGAGAGCUGGUGCCCUGUGGCCACCUCAAGCUGGAACCCUGCAAGAUCACCAAGAAGACUGCAUGCCUCGCUCUAGCCUUCCUAAGGGAAAGUAGACUCCUGUUUUUGAGAGAAAUUACCUGAUUUCAAGAGAAACAUAAAGGACUUUUUUUCCCUUAACAUUCCACUCGUAAAAAUGAAGUUUGGAAGAACUUCUGCAAACUCUGAGUGUUUUGGUCAAUUGACCUUUUACUGUACUAAGCAAAUCUGAAGCCACAAAUACAUUGGGGAGGAAGGUAUACCCUUCACAAAAGAUCCGUCACUUAGCCAGAUACUCUGUUGCCAUGC
ensembl:lncRNA CCND2-AS1 CCND2 antisense RNA 1